rnacentral:snRNA from 1 species
GUGCUCACGUCGGCAACACAUAUACUAAAAUUGGGAAGAUAUGGGGAAUAUUAAAAUGGCCUCUGAACAAGGGUGACAUGCAAAUUCGUGAAGCAUUCCAUAUUUUU